rnacentral:rRNA from 1 species
GACGAACUUUGGCGGCGUGCUUAACACAUGCAAGUCGAACGGAAAGGCCCUGCUUUUGUGGGGUGCUCGAGUGGCGAACGGGUGAGUAACACGUGAGUAACCUGCCCUUGACUUUGGGAUAACUUCAGGAAACUGGGGCUAAUACCGGAUAGGAGCUCCUGCUGCAUGGUGGGGGUUGGAAAGUUUCGGCGGUUGGGGAUGGACUCGCGGCUUAUCAGCUUGUUGGUGGGGUAGUGGCUUACCAAGGCUUUGACGGGUAGCCGGCCUGAGAGGGUGACCGGCCACAUUGGGACUGAGAUACGGCCCAGACUCCUACGGGAGGCAGCAGUGGGGAAUAUUGCACAAUGGGCGGAAGCCUGAUGCAGCAACGCCGCGUGCGGGAUGACGGCCUUCGGGUUGUAAACCGCUUUCGCCUGUGACGAAGCGUGAGUGACGGUAAUGGGUAAAGAAGCACCGGCUAACUACGUGCCAGCAGCCGCGGUGAUACGUAGGGUGCGAGCGUUGUCCGGAUUUAUUGGGCGUAAAGGGCUCGUAGGUGGUUGAUCGCGUCGGAAGUGUAAUCUUGGGGCUUAACCCUGAGCGUGCUUUCGAUACGGGUUGACUUGAGGAAGGUAGGGGAGAAUGGAAUUCCUGGUGGAGCGGUGGAAUGCGCAGAUAUCAGGAGGAACACCAGUGGCGAAGGCGGUUCUCUGGGCCUUUCCUGACGCUGAGGAGCGAAAGCGUGGGGAGCGAACAGGCUUAGAUACCCUGGUAGUCCACGCUGUAAACGGUGGGUACUAGGUGUGGGGUCCAUUCCACGGGUUCCGUGCCGUAGCUAACGCUUUAAGUACCCCGCCUGGGGAGUACGGCCGCAAGGCUAAAACUCAAAGGAAUUGACGGGGCCCCGCACAAGCGGCGGAGCAUGCGGAUUAAUUCGAUGCAACGCGUAGAACCUUACCUGGGUUUGACAUGGAUCGGGAGUGCUCAGAGAUGGGUGUGCCUCUUUUGGGGUCGGUUCACAGGUGGUGCAUGCCUGUCGUCAGCUCGUGUCGUGAGAUGUUGGGUUAAGUCCCGCAACGAGCGCAACCCUUGUUCACUGUUGCCAGCACGUUAUGGUGGGGACUCAGUGGAGACCGCCGGGGUCAACUCGGAGGAAGGUGGGGAUGACGUCAAGUCCUCAUGCCCCUUAUGUCCAGGGCUUCACGCAUGCUACAAUGGCUGGUACAGAGAGUGGCGAGCCUGUGAGGGUGAGCGAAUCUCGGAAAGCCGGUCUCAGUUCGGAUUGGGGUCUGCAACUCGACCUCAUGAAGUCGGAGUCGCUAGUAAUCCCAAAAGAGCANCGCUGCGGUGANUNCGUUCCCNGGG